GACGAACGCUGGCGGCGUGCUUAACACAUGCAAGUCGAACGGCAAGGCCCUGCUUUUGUGGUGUUCUCGAUUGGCGAACGGGUGCGUAACACGUGAGUAACCUGCCCUUUACUUUGGUAUAACUUCAGGUAACUGGGGCUAAUCCCGUAUCGGAUCUCCUGCUGCAUUGUGGGGGUUGGAUAUUUUCGGCGGUUGGGGAUGGACUCGCGGCUUAUCAGCUUGUUGGUGGGGUAGUGGCUUACCAAGGCUUUGACGGGUAGGCGGCCUGAGAGGGUGAACGGCCACAAUGGGACUGAGAGACGGCCCAGACUCCUACGGGAGGCAGAAGUGGGGAAUAUGGCACAAUGGGCGGAAGCCUGAUGCAGAAACGCUGCGUGCGGGAUGACGGCUUUCGGGGUGUAAACCGCUGUAGCCUGUGACGAAGCGGGAGUGACGGUAAUGGGUAAAGAAGCACCGGCUAACUACGUG
rnacentral:rRNA from 1 species